CUCAGUAAUUCUGGAAGAAGAGGCACAGAGGAAAAGGGGAGGGCCAUUAAUACAAAACAGAAUUAAACUGAAGGGUAUGGAAAAGCCAUUUCCUUUGAGGGCAUAGUUGCAGUUACCAGUAUUGAGUGAGUCAUGAUACUAAUUAUAAACUGCCUUGUGCAUUGCUUGUAGGCACACGGAGGGAGAGCUGACACAGAGCAGUGAGGUUUCUUGCUUCUCCUCCAGUUUAAUGACAUACAAUCAGCACGGUGACAAACACACAGAGCUAGAUUCUAGUCGGUGUUGAGAGGGUGACAAUCCUGACACAGGAGAGGAAGGGGCAAGAAUGAACACCGACAAUACCAAGCUUCAGCAUUCACAAUGACUGCCAGAGCACUCCCCAGGUAACAGUAAUUU
rnacentral:lncRNA from 1 species